rnacentral:rRNA from 1 species
CAGUAGCCACGGUAAUACGAAGGGUGCAAGCGUUACUCGGAACUACUGGGCGUAAAGCGUGCGUAGGUGGUGGUUUAAGUCCGUUGUGAAAGCCCUGGGCUCAACCUGGGAAUUGCAGUGGAUACUGGGUCACUAGAGUGUGGUAGAGGAAAGUGGAAUUUCCGGUGUAGCAGUGAAAUGCGUAGAGAUCGGAAGGAACAUCUGUGGCGAAGGCGACUAUCUGGGCCAACACUGACACUGAGGCACGAAAGCGUGGGGAGCAAACAGGAUUAGAUACCCGAGUAGUCCCUGUCUCUUAUAC